UGGGGAAUAUUGGACAAUGGGGGGAACCCUGAUCCAGCCAUGCCGCGUGUGAGAAGAAGGCCUUAUGGUUGUAAAGCACUUUAAGCGAGGAGGAGGGUACUGGUAUUAAUACUACCAGCUACUGGACGUUACUCGCAGAAUAAGCACCGGCUAACUCUGUGCCAGCAGCCGCGGUAAUACAGAGGGUGCGAGCGUUAAUCGGAUUUACUGGGCGUAAAGCGUGCGUAGGCGGCUAAUUGAGUCGGAUGUGAAAUCCCCGAGCUUAACUUGGGAAUUGCAUUCGAUACUGGUUAGCUAGAGUGUGGGAGAGGAUGGUAGAAUUCCAGGUGUAGCGGUGAAAUGCGUAGAGAUCUGGAGGAAUACCGAUGGCGAAGGCAGCCAUCUGGCCUAACACUGACGCUGAGGUACGAAAGCAUGGGGAGCAAACAGG
rnacentral:rRNA from 1 species